rnacentral:misc_RNA from 1 species
UUUCCGUAGGUGAACCUGCGGAAGGAUCAUUAUUGAAUAAACCUGAUGUGGUUGUAGCUGGCCCUUUCGGGAGCAUGUGCACACCCGUCGUCUUUAUCUUUCCACCCGUGCACCUUUUGUAGACCUGGAUGUAACACUUUCCGAGGCAACUCGGUCGGGAGGAAUGCUGUCAGCUUUCCUUGAAUGUCCAGGCCUAUGUUUUCAUAUACCCCAAAGAAUGUAACAGAAUGUAUUAUUGGGCCUUGUGCCUAUAAACUAUAUACAACUUUCAGCAACGGAUCUCUUGGCUCUC